CAGUCUCCAGAAAAAGAGGCUCUUAAGUCUGUCUGAAGAUUGCUUCACAAUAACUGAGCAAUGGGUUGAGAGCUGUGGUCUACAGUGCCGGGAGUUGUGGGCUGAGGUAGUAGUUUGUAUAGUUUGGGAUCACACCAGAUCUGGGAGAUAACUAUACAGUCUACUGUCUUUCUCACGGCUGCCACUUUGCAUCAUGCUCCCUUCGUGGAAACGCUGGAUUUGGAAGCUGUAAGCAAAUUGUUCAUCAUGAAAUGUCAGUGUGGCUUUGUUGUGCUGAGGUAGUAAGUUGUGUUGUUGUGGGGACUUGGUAUGAUUUGUCCCUUGCUGGAGAUAACUAUACAUCUUACUGCCUUCCACACUGGAGUCUCUUUACCCCUCCUGCAUAUUUUUUUUACGUUGUUUAAUUCAUAUUUGUGGUCAAAAUGGCUUCAUUUUAGCUGUGCUAGUCCUGCUACCCCACUGUUGCCAAUUUUUAUUGUUUUUCUUUUAUUAUAUUUUUAUUCAUGUGUUUGUGUAUUGCCUUUAUCCAGUUGUAAAAGGAAUCUUAAUAAACUGAACACAGUUAAAGGAA